rnacentral:rRNA from 1 species
UCUGGUGGCGAUAGCAAGGUGGAUACACCUGUUCCCAUACCGAACACAGAAGUUAAGCACUUUCACGCUGAUGGUAGUAAGUUAAAUCUUGCGAGAGUAGGUAGCUGCCAGGC